GUAGGGAAUCUUGCACAAUGGGCGAAAGCCUGAUGCAGCAACGCCGCGUGAAGGAUGAAGGCCUUCGGGUUGUAAACUUCUGUUCCCGGGGACGAAGAAAGUGACGGUACCCGGGCAGCAAGCCCCGGCUAACUACGUGCCAGCAGCCGCGGUAAUACGUAGGGGGCAAGCGUUAUCCGGAAUUAUUGGGCGUAAAGAGUGCGUAGGUGGUUAUGUAAGCGUGAGGUUUAAGGCAGUGGCUUAACCACUGUUCGCCUUGCGAACUGCAUAACUUGAGUGCAGGAGGGGAAAGCGGAAUUCCUAGUGUAGCGGUGAAAUGCGUAGAUAUUAGGAGGAACACCAGCGGCGAAGGCGGCUUUCUGGACUGCAACUGACACUGAGGCACGAAAGCGUGGGGAGCAAACAGGA
rnacentral:rRNA from 1 species